rnacentral:rRNA from 1 species
AUUGAACGCUGGCGGCAGGCCUAACACAUGCAAGUCGAGCGGAUGAAGGGAGCUUGCUCCUGGAUUCAGCGGCGGACGGGUGAGUAAUGCCUAGGAAUCUGCCUGGUAGUGGGGGAUAACGUCCGGAAACGGGCGCUAAUACCGCAUACGUCCUGCGGGAGAAAGUGGGGGAUCUUCGGACCUCACGCUAUCAGAUGAGCCUAGGUCGGAUUAGCUAGUUGGUGGGGUAAAGGCCUACCAAGGCGACGAUCCGUAACUGGUCUGAGAGGAUGAUCAGUCACACUGGAACUGAGACACGGUCCAGACUCCUACGGGAGGCAGCAGUGGGGAAUAGUGGACAAUGGGCGAAAGCCUGAUCCAGCCAUGCAGCGUGUGUGAAGAAGGGCUUCGGAUGGUAAAGCACUUUAAGUUGGGAGGAAGGGCAGUAAGUUAAUACCUUGCUGUUUUGACGUUACCAACAGAAUAAGCACCGGCUAACUUCGU